AGCGAACGCUGGCGGCAGGCCUAACACAUGCAAGUCGAACGAACUCUUCGGAGUUAGUGGCGGACGGGUGAGUAACACGUGGGAACGUGCCUUUUGGUUCGGAAUAACUCAGGGAAACUUGUGCUAAUACCGAAUGUGCCCUUCGGGGGAAAGAUUUAUCGCCAUUAGAGUGGCCCGCGUCUGAUUAGCUAGUUGGUGAGGUAACGGCUCACCAAGGCGACGAUCAGUAGCUGGUCUGAGAGGAUGACCAGCCACACUGGGACUGAGACACGGCCCAGACUCCUACGGGAGGCAGCAGUGGGGAAUCUUGCGCAAUGGGCGAAAGCCUGACGCAGCCAUGCCGCGUGAAUGAUGAAGGUCUUAGGAUUGUAAAAUUCUUUCACCGGGGACGAUAAUGACGGUACCCGGAGAAGAAGCCCCGGCUAACUUCGUG
rnacentral:rRNA from 1 species